rnacentral:tRNA from 1 species
GCACUAAUGGGGUAGUGGUAACCUGGGUCGUUGCCAUAUAUAGUAUCGACCCGCCGCGAGUUCGAUUCUCGCUUAGUGCA